UGGGUUGUGGCUCAGUGGUAGAGCACUCACCUAGCAUGUGCAAGGCCCUGGGUUCUAUCCUCAGCACCACAU
rnacentral:tRNA from 1 species